CCUACGGGCGGCAGCAGUGAGGAAUAUUGGUCAAUGGGCGGGAGCCUGAACCAGCCAAGCCGCGUGAGGGAAGAAGGUACAGCGUAACGUAAACCUCUUUUGUCAGGGAACAAAGGCGGGGACUAGUCCCCGGAUGAGGGUACCUGAAGAAAAAGCAUCGGCUAACUCCGUGCCAGCAGCCGCGGUAAUACGGAGGAUCCGAGCGUUAUCCGGAUUUAUUGGGUUUAAAGGGAGCGUAGAUGGGUUGUUAAGUCAGUUGGGAAAGUUUGCGGCUCAACCGUAAAAUUGCAAUUGAUACUGGCAGCCUUGAGUACAGUUGAGGUAGGCGGAAUUCGUGGUGUAGCGGUGAAAUGCUUAGAUAUCACGAAGAACUCCGAUUGCGAAGGCAGCUUACUAAACUGCCACUGACAUUGAUGCUCGAAAGUGUGGGUAUCAAACAGGAUUAGAUACCCCAGUAGUC
rnacentral:rRNA from 1 species